UACGUAGGGGGCUAGCGUUGUCCGGAAUCAUUGGGCGUAAAGAGCGUGUAGGCGGCCCGGUAAGUCCGCUGUGAAAGUCGGGGGGCUCAACCCUCGGAUGCCGGUGGAGUACUGUCGGGCUCGAGUACGGAAGAGGCGAGUGGAAUUCCUGGUGUAGCGGUGAAAUGCGCAGAUAUCAGGAAGAACACCUAUUGCGAAGGCAGCUCGCUGGGACGUUACUGACGCUGGAGACGCGAAAGCGUGGGGAGCAAACAGG
rnacentral:rRNA from 1 species